AUGAAGAAGAAGAGGAGCAAGAGGUCCAGGCUCUCCGCCGCGCUGCGGGAGCUCAGGCUGGCGGCCAAGGCGAGGGACAAGGAGGGGCUCCUUCAGAUCCUCGUCACCGGACACCGCACCAGCCGCGGAGGAUCCGGCAACGGCGAGCGCACCGGCGGAGCAUCGACGGAGCGCAGUGUGGCUGGCACGGGCGACGACCAGCGCGCGACACUGCGGUGGCAGGGACGCGGUGUCGAUGCAGCCGGGCGUGCGGAUGGUCCUCUUCUUGAGCUGGGGAGACCGACAGCAACCGGGGGAGCCAGCUGCGGCGGCCGUCGUUGCCCGAGUUGGGCGCUGGCAGUGGCGCUUGUGCUCGCGCUGGUUUGCGUGGUAGCGCUCGGGACGGCGCCGGCCAUCUGUUGCUGCACCUGCGCGGCCUGGUUGUGCGGCGGCUGCGGCGCGCAGGAGCAUGCAUCUGACCGGCGGCGGGGCGGCUCCUGCCGUGGCAGCGUCAGAGUAAUGCAGCAACAAGCCGGUAGUACACUGUAUCAUGCAGAGGUCACCAGUGGGUGA
rnacentral:rRNA from 1 species